rnacentral:rRNA from 1 species
UACGUAGGCAGCAAGCGUUGUUCGGAGUUACUGGGCGUAAAGGGUGUGUAGGCGGUCCCCUAAGUUUGGUGUGAAAUCUCCCGGCUCAACUGGGAGGGUGCGCCGAAAACUGGGGGGCUAGAGUACUGGAUGGGAGAGUGGAAUUCCUGGUGUAGCGGUGAAAUGCGCAGAUAUCAGGAAGAACACCCGUGGCGAAGGCGGCUCUCUGGGGACGGUACUGGACGCUGAGACGCGAAAGCGUGGGGAGCGAACAGG